CGCCACCAUUAAGCAGGAUCGUCUCCCCAGGAGUACCUCUAGAAGCUUCUGUUGGGGGUGGGGAGACAACUUCCUGAGCAGCCUGCCUGAUAAGGUCUCAGCACUGCUAAAUGAAGUCUC
rfam:Erinaceus europaeus cont1.646740, whole genome shotgun sequence.